UGAGUCUUUCUCUUCCUUGCCUCUGCUUC
rnacentral:piRNA from 1 species